GAUGAACGCUGGCGGCGUGCCUAAUACAUGCAAGUCGAGCGAACAGACGAGGAGCUUGCUCCUCUGACGUUAGCGGCGGACGGGUGAGUAACACGUGGAUAACCUACCUAUAAGACUGGGAUAACUUCGGGAAACCGGAGCUAAUACCGGAUAAUAUAUUGAACCGCAUGGUUCAAUAGUGAAAGACGGUUUUGCUGUCACUUAUAGAUGGAUCCGCGCCGCAUUAGCUAGUUGGUAAGGUAACGGCUUACCAAGGCAACGAUGCGUAGCCGACCUGAGAGAGUGAUCGGCCACACUGGAACUGAAACACGCACAAGACUCCUACGGUAGGCAGCAGUAGGGAAUCUUCCGCAAUGGUCGAAAGCCUUACGGAGCAACGCCGCGUGAGUGAUGAAGGUCUUCGGAUCGUAAAACUCUGUUAUUAGGGAAGAACAAAUGUGUAAGUAACUAUGCACGGCUUGACGGUACCUAAUCAGAAAGCCACGGCUAACUACGUG
rnacentral:rRNA from 1 species